GUCAGGGUUUUUCUGCAGUUUGGAUUGCAGUGGGAGGAGGAACCUUUCUCCUUAUUACUGUCUUAAUCUGCAUCUGCAGAAUAAAGAAAAGAGCUGCUGGAACUGAUCACAGUGAGACAAAACAGGAUGAUGUCCUCUACACCACCGUUACACACAGCAGAUCCAGACCUGUACAGGCUGCUGCUUCUGCUGACUCUGGAGCUGCUGAUGUUCUG